rnacentral:rRNA from 1 species
UACGAAGGGGGCGAGCGUUGUUCGGAAUCACUGGGCGUAAAGGGCGCGUAGGCGGUGGUCCAAGUCAGGCGUGAAAGCCCCGGGCUCAACCCGGGAACCGCGCUUGGGACUGGGCCGCUCGAGUUCGGGAGAGGAUGGUGGAAUUCCCAGUGUAGAGGUGAAAUUCGUAGAUAUUGGGAAGAACACCGGUGGCGAAGGCGGCCAUCUGGACCGACACUGACGCUGAGGCGCGACAGCGUGGGGAGCAAACAGG